UUGUAACUGCCAUCUGGAAUAAAUGCGUUCUUUAACCGUGUCUGUGUGUGUGUGUGUGUGUGUGUGUGUGUGUGUGUGUGUGUGUGUGUGUGUGUGUGUGUGUGUGUGUGUGUGUGUGUGUGUGUGUGUGUGUGUGUGUGUGUGUGUGUGUGUGUGUGUGUGUGUGUGUGUGUGUGUGUGUGUGUGUGUAAAAUACACUGAAGAGACCACUGCAUUGAAGGCUUAACGAUAUUCUGGGUCAUUAAUUAUGUCACCACGUAGGUUACAUAGGGCUGCACAAACUCUCAAGAUCUUAUCAAAUUUAGGGGCCAGAUUAAUCGGGACUGUUUGAGAAAUAAUUCUAUAGUUUUUUAGUCUACGUAUGAUGACACGUUCAACGUGGACACAUACGUUUGCGAUGCGUCCUGUGGUGAACGCUGACAGGGCAACAAGCCUUUCAAGGGCCACCUCCUUCAACAAGACAAAUGUCGAGCUCUUCUUCAGUCGCCUGGGGGUGGCAAUAGAAAAGAGGCGCUUCGAUGGUUCAGACAUUUGGAACACGGACGAGACAGGCGUCACAACUGUGCAGGCACCAUCCCGAGAGGUAGCACGCCGGGGGGGCAGGCAGGUUGGAGCCAUGACGUCGGGGAUCGUGAGGAACGCCGGCCCUACCCACGGCCGCAACGCAAAUAAACAUUCAGCAGGCUUCCAGUGCACAGGCAUAUGGCCUUACCAUCCGAACAUCUUUCAGGACUGUGACUUUGCGCUUUCCCAGGUCACAGAUCGUCCUGACCCAGCUGAGGCUCUCCUGCCGCCAGGCUCCUCACCUGCUCACCUUCGCCAGGCUCCUCACCUGCUCACCUGCCGCCAGGCUCCUCACCUGCUCACCUGCCGCCAGGCUCUGCUCCUCCUCCAGAGAUGCCGAGCUCUGGGUCCAUCUUAGGACCUUUCAGUCAAACAGCUCACCUGCAAGCUCACCUGCUCCAGGCUCUGUUCCUCCUCCAGAGAUGCCGAGCUCUGGGUCCAUCGUAGGACCUUUCAGUCAAACAAUAAUUCGGCCAUUUCCGAAAGCAGGCCCAAGAAAAGAAACAGACAAGGGUAGGCGGAAGAUACUCCGAAAUCUUGACUGAUACACCAGUUAAGCUGGCAUUGGAAGAGGAGGACCGGCGAAAAGGAAAAAACAUCAAAUAUAAACUCUUUGGGGGUGAAAUAGGAAAGGAGAGGAAGGUCAACAAAACUGCAAACAAAAUGGUGAAAGCUCAGAACUCCUCGUCAGAGGAGGAAGAAGAUUUUUGUGUGUUCUGCAUGGAAACCUUUCGAAAUUCCAAAUCCAAAGAGGUGUGGGUAAAGUGUGUCCUAUGCAGCUAUUGGGCCCACCAGGUCUGCCCAAUUUUAUUUGUCACCAUUGUGAUUCAGAUUAAGGAUUUAUUUAAUUUGUUGUUACCAGAGAACAUGUUGCCCUGUUCUAAAAAAAAAAAAAAGUUCAGUUUCAGUAUUUUGUUUGGUGAAUCUAUUUUCAAACCCUGUUUAAAUACGGCAUAUCAAAUGGAGUAACAUUGUUUUUUUUGCAUUUUGUCUACCUUUUACAACCUACCCAAGUAGGUGUUACAACCUACCCUGGCAGUGGGGUAGGUUGUAACAAAGGUAUACAUUGUAU
ensembl:lncRNA